CACUGACAAAACGAAUUGAAUUCUUGAUCUUUCUUCAUUGUGUAUCGUGUGGUGCAAUCUCCUGGGUCUAAGCGGUCAGAAGCAUUGCUUGAGCCAAAGGAAACUAUUGUCCUUACUCCUAAGAAUGUGCAGGCACUAAGAACACUUUUCAACAUAUCUCAUCGACUGCAUAAUGUUUUAGGUCCUUCAUGGAGCUUGGUACUGGAGACUCUAGCUUCUCUUGACCGAACUAUUCAUUCUCCACAUGCAACUACACAGGUAAUAUUGGAUGUCAACAAAGGAAAGGGCUAGUUUAUCUUCAAUUAUUAUUUUUGGAGAUUGAUUGGACCAAUCUCUAAAAUUGAAUUGACCUACUUCAACACUAAUAGGCUAGUGUCCUUAGAGAGUU